rnacentral:rRNA from 1 species
CAGCAGCCGCGGGAAUACGUAGGUGGCAAGCGUUGUCCGGAAUUAUUGGGCGUAAAGGGCUCGCAGGCGGUUUCUUAAGUCUGAUGUGAAAGCCCCCGGCUCAACCGGGGAGGGUCAUUGGAAACUGGGAAACUUGAGUGCAGAAGAGGAGAGUGGAAUUCCACGUGUAGCGGUGAAAUGCGUAGAGAUGUGGAGGAACACCAGUGGCGAGGGCGACUCUCUGGUCUGUAACUGACGCUGAGGAGCGAAAGCGUGGGGAGCGAACAGGAUUAGAUACCCGAGUAGUCCCUGUCUCUUAUAC